rnacentral:rRNA from 1 species
UACGAAGGGGGCUAGCGUUGCUCGGAAUCACUGGGCGUAAAGGGCUCGUAGGCGGCCAACUAAGUCAGACGUGAAAUCCCUCGGCUUAACCGGGGAACUGCGUCUGAUACUGGAUGGCUUGAAUCCGGGAGAGGGAUGCGGAAUUCCAGGUGUAGCGGUGAAAUGCGUAGAUAUCUGGAGGAACACCGGUGGCGAAGGCGGCAUCCUGGACCGGCAUUGACGCUGAGGAGCGAAAGCGUGGGGAGCAAACAGG